GUAUCUGUUGCACCAUUCUUGUUGAAGUGUUAUGAAAUGGUGGAGGAUGAGUCAACUGACGGCUUGAUUUCUUGGAAUCAAUCUGAGAAAAGUUUCAUCAUAUGGGAUGUUCCUAAAUUUUCAUCUGAAUUGCUUCCUAAGUACUUCAAGCAUAGCAACUUCUCCAGCUUCAUUCGUCAACUCAACAUCUAUGGUUUUCAUAAAACUGAUACAGAUAGAUGGGAAUUUUUGAAUGAUAGCUUUGUCAAAGGCCAAAAGCAUUUUUUAAAGAAUAUUGUUAGAAGGAAACAGUCCAGUGUAGCCCAAAAGAAACCAUCCCAACUUGAGGAGAUCAAGUCUUGUACAUCUGAAGAAAGUAAGAAUCUUGAACUGUGGAAAGAAGUUGAGAAUCUUAAGGAUGAAAGAAAUGUUCUCACCCAGGAGUUAGUCAAGCUUAAGGAACACCAGCAGAAUUCAGAGAGUAAGUUGAUACUUCUACGAGAACAACUAAAAGUCAGGGAGAAAAAUCAACAGCAGAUGCUUUCCUUCAUUGUUAUGGCUAUGCAAAGCCCAAGUUUUUUGGUUCAGUUUUUCCAGCCCAAGGAAAACAGUUGGUGUAUGAGUGAAAAUGGUAAUAAUAUACUGAGUGAAGUUGAAGAUGAUUGUGUAGAUACACCAUCCGAUCGAGCAAUUGUGAGGUAUCAUCCUCCCACUCAUGAAGAAGCUGCAGAGACCCUCCUAUGCGCUGAACCUGAACCUGCCUUGGAUUCUCAGAAACCUAUGGAGCUCGAUUUUUCUUCCAAUGAAUUAAAAGAUAUGUUUUCCAAUAUAGAUUUCUUCUCAGGAUUAAUGGAUGAAAAGCUGCUUGCUUUUGAAAAUAGGGUCCCUCUUACUUUGCCAUAUCAUCCUGAUGAUGACAACUUGUUGGAACAGCUGCUUUUGUCCAGUCCAAUAACAGAGAAUAAUGAAGGCGAAGUGAUGGAUAAUCCAGCGUGCUCCCAUACUGGUAUGGAGACUGACUUAGAGUCUGGAACAUUUUCAGGUUCAGAGGAACCAUUUCACAGUCUGGAAGAGAAAAAGAUGGAAAUGGAUUUGCUGGAGACACAGUCAGACAACUUGAGUAAUAUGGAUAUACUUGCUGAACAGCUGGGGCAUAGUAAAUUCUGAAGGGAUCCCAACCCGCUUAUACAGAUUGCGAAGAUGUAUUGUUGAAUCUUCCUGGAUCAUUUUUGA
rnacentral:misc_RNA from 1 species